UACGUAGGUGGCAAGCGUUGUCCGGAAUUACUGGGCGUAAAGAGUAUGUAGGCGGAUAUUUAAGUCAGAUGUGAAAUCCCCGGGCUUAACCUGGGAGCUGCAUUUGAAACUGGAUAUCUAGAGUGCAGGAGAGGAAAGUGGAAUUCCUAGUGUAGCGGUGAAAUGCGUAGAGAUUAGGAAGAACACCAGUGGCGAAGACGACUUUCUGGACUGUAACUGACGCUGAGAUACGAAAGCGUGGGUAGCAAACAGG
rnacentral:rRNA from 1 species